rnacentral:rRNA from 1 species
CUCGUAGGCGGUUCGUCGUGUCCGGUGUGAAAGUCCAUCGCUUAACGGUGGAUCCGCGCCGGGUACGGGCGGGCUUGAGUGCGGUAGGGGAGACUGGAAUUCCCGGUGUAACGGUGGAAUGUGUAGAUAUCGGGAAGAACACCAAUGGCGAAGGCAGGUCUCUGGGCCGUCACUGACGCUGAGGAGCGAAAGCGUGGGGAGCGAACA